GUUCGGGAGCGCGGCAGGGCGGGUGCCGUCGUUGCUGCUGUGCCUCGCGUCCUAUAACCUUUCACCCCAACUCCGAUGCUUUUCCUAGUCAUGCCGAAGGAGCCGAUUAUGAGGUUAUCUGAAGCAGAAGAUUGUGGUGAUUCUCUUCUUGGUCCUUUAAUGAUCAUUGUCGAGAAGCGUGCUGCUCACCUGGGACUGACCAAGGGAUUCCG